rnacentral:misc_RNA from 1 species
UCUCCGUAGGUGAACCUGCGGAGGGAUCAUUACAGAGUUCAUGCCCUCCGGGUAGAUCUCCCACCCAUUGCUAUAACUACUCUCGUUGCUUUGGCGGGCCGCUGGGCCCUGCCCGGCCGCCGGCCCCGGCUGGCGCGUGCCCGCCAGAGACCUCACAAACUCUGAAUGUUAGUGUCAUCCGAGUAACUAUACAAUCGUUAAAACUUUCAACAACGGAUCUCUUGGUUCUG